rnacentral:rRNA from 1 species
CCUUCGGGAUUAGUGGCGGACGGGUGAGUAACACGGGGGAACGUGCCCUUUGGUUCGGAACAACUCAGGGAAACUUGAGCUAAUACCGGAUGUGCCCUUCGGGGGAAAGAUUUAUCGCCAUUGGAGCGGCCCGCGUCUGAUUAGCUAGUUGGUGAGGUAAAGGCUCACCAAGGCGACGAUCAGUAGCUGGUCUGAGAGGAUGAUCAGCCACAUUGGGACUGAGACACGGCCCAAACUCCUACGGGAGGCAGCAGUGGGGAAUCUUGCGCAAUGGGCGAAAGCCUGACGCAGCCAUGCCGCGUGAAUGAUGAAGGUCUUAGGAUUGUAAAAUUCUUUCACCGGGGACGAUAAUGACGGUACCCGGAGAAGAAGCCCCGGCUAACUUCGUGCCAGCAGCCGCGGUAAUACGAAGGGGGCUAGCGUUGCUCGGAAUUACUGGGCGUAAAGGGAGCGUAGGCGGACUGUUUAGUCAGAGGUGAAAGCCCAGGGCUCAACCUUGGAAUUGCCUUUGAUACUGGCAGUCUUGAGUACGGAAGAGGUAUGUGGAACUCCGAGUGUAGAGGUGAAAUUCGUAGAUAUUCGGAAGAACACCAGUGGCGAAGGCGACAUACUGGUCCGUUACUGACGCUGAGGCUCGAAAGCGUGGGGAGCAAACAGGAUUAGAUACCCUGGUAGUCCACGCCGUAAACGAUGAGUGCUAGUUGUCGGCAUGCAUGCAUGUCGGUGACACAGCUAACGCAUUAAGCACUCCGCCUGGGGAGUACGGUCGCAAGAUUAAAACUCACAUGAAUUGACGG